CGUCCCUCAGUCCUCCGCCUCACGCAAUGCGUUUGUGGUGGACCUGGGGCUCAUCACCGUGGGCAACAGUUUCAGUCUGAUGUCGGCUGAAGGGUUCUCGCUCCCGUUGUCAUGGACACCAUGGAUGUCAAACUCACUCAGCUCAAACUGUCCAGGACCACGCUGAAACAAGGCUCCCCACAGACAGACAUCGAGAUCCUUCAGCCAAUCAAUUUAGAGCUUCUGGUCAAACGGAACCUGGCCUCUUCCUGGUACAGCAAGAUCCCUGAGUAGAGGUUCAAGGAAUGCUCAAGUCUAUGAAUAUGUCUCUCGGUCAGGAGGACUUUGGUGUCCUGAUGAAGACACUGAGGGAGAACAUCGGAGAGGGCAGCAAAGAGCACGUCAUGGAUGUCAAGAAACAAGUAGUCCGAGG